rnacentral:rRNA from 1 species
AUUGAACGCUGGCGGCAUGCCUUACACAUGCAAGUCGAACGGCAGCACGGGUGCUUGCACCUGGUGGCGAGCGGCGAACGGGUGAGUAAUACAUCGGAACGUACCUUAUCGUGGGGGAUAACGCAGCGAAAGCUGUGCUAAUACCGCAUACGCCCUGAGGGGGAAAGCGGGGGAUCGCAAGACCUCGCGCGAUUAGAGCGGCCGAUGCCUGAUUAGCUUGUUGGUGGGGUAAAAGCCCACCAAGGCGACGAUCAGUAGCUGGUCUGAGAGGACGAUCAGCCACACUGGGACUGAGACACGGCCCAGACUCCUACGGGGGGCAGAAGUGGGGAAUUUUGGACAAUGGGGGCAACCCUGAUCCAGCAAUGCCGCGUGAGUGAAGAAGGCCUUCGGGUUGUAAAGCUCUUUUGUCAGGGAAGAAACACCGGCUCUAACACAGUCUGGGAAUGACGGUACCUGAAGAAUAAGCACCGGCUAACUACGUGCCAGCCGCCGCAGUAA